AAUCACUCAGCAGCACCGCGAGCUCUGAAAGGGUGAAUGAUUUUAAGUUCUUGAAACUUGAGAAAGAAGAUGGGGAGGACAGAGGUUGUAAUGAAACCCUCACUGGGAACCUGAGGGCAGAGGGGGAAUAUGAGCUACUGCAGCGUCAGAAAUUCUUGGAUUUGUUGAAACUUGGUUCUGGAAGGAGUGAGCCAGAAAGAAAUCCCCCCAAAAAAGAAGAGGAAAAAAUGCAAUAUCCUUCCACUUCAGUGCGUUGUUGUAAGUGUAGUCAUUUCUGGGAGAAGUAUCAAGGCUUACUGCUGUUCUCGGCACUGCCACGAGGGAUGAAUGAGCUCUCAUGAAUGGAAGAAUCAUCAUCAUCGUGUAGAAAUCAAUGUGGUUUGGCCUUGGAAAGAGUGAUUGUAGCUCAAUCGCUUGUGUACAAGCAAGAGUUCUCUUCUAAUUGCCUGGCUUGCCAAGGAGGGAAUUCGGCUGUUUUCUUCUCCCUGGGAGUGACUUUGACUUCAUGAGGAUAAACUCAGUUGGUUAAGGUGUAUUUAGGAACACUUCUGUCUUGUCCUUUGUGAGGUCUUACUCAAGGAGCAAGGGAGGACUCAGCUUGAGGUUGAACUGCCGCAGAGAUAUCAGAGCUGAAGGAGAAAGGCUGUUGUCUGUAAUGCUCUCUUGUUGUCAUAACCAGUGUGAUGUGGAGCCCAUGGGAGGUGAUGAAGACAGGCAGCCUAUGGAGACACAUUGCGCUGCGUGCGGAAUGUGUGUGAUACCCUUACCACAACAGAACCUGCUAUGAGUUAUGAUGUGAAACUCCUGCACAGGACAAGAGAAACCACUGCUGCCUCCGGAGCUCUGCUGCUCCGAGGCCUCUCCGUCUGGUGGCUGCUGCCAGAGAGCUGGAAACGCUCUGAGUGUUCCUGGGUUUGAACCUCUGAGUGCCUGUGUAAACCUGGACCAGCUGCUUCCACCUUCCGUGCUUCCCGGAGCGGUUCCCAAACAAAAGCACGCUUGCUAUAAAUUUCCAGUGCCACUUUGGCAGCUCGUGUAUUGACUUUUCCAUCCUCCUUUUCUGGAUUUUGUUUCCUCUCACCUUUUAAGUUUCUUCCGUUUUCCCCAAGGGAGUACUUACGUUCUCAGAUUGAAAACAGAAGGUUGUUCAGGUUGAUUGUUAGCAUGCUGUCAAACGGUAUUUUCCAUAUAAAAAUAUUUAUUUUACUUCAAGCCACAUCUUUCUGAUGGAAGAAGGGCUUAAAGGAGUCAGCGUCUGGGAGCUUCUGUGCAUAAAUGUUUCAGUGGUUCUGUGAUUUCAUGGAGCAAAAUAAGAGUGCAAAGUGUAGCCCAUUUCUUCUGCUGCUGCUCUUUCCCUUCUGACCAUAGCGAAGCCCAAACGUGAAUGAGAUGCAAGUGGACUCCAUGCUGCUGUCUCCCAGAGAACUGCAUUAUUCAAUGUAGGUGAAAAAGUAUCACCCAAAAAGGUUGAACUCAAUGAUCUCCCCAGGUCCCUUCCAUCCCCUAGGACUCUAUGGUGCUGCUCCUUGGACACAAUGGCUGGUCUCUGGCUGUCGUAUAAACCCAGCAAAGCAAGUACAGGCCCGCACUAGCUGACCUUCCAGGUGGUGUUACUGCAGUCAUGUGUUACGUAAUUGGAGGAGGAAGUGGUUUUAAUUGGGCUGCACUCAGAUUUCCAGUGAAAUAGAUUUUUAACUUUUGAAAGUCAAUAGGUAGCCUCAAUAUGCAGUAAAGAUUAAGGCUGUUACUGAUUAAAUAUCGCUCCUUCCUUCCCUGAGGGAAUAAAGUUUACCUCUUUAACUGCUUGAGCUC
ensembl:lncRNA